GGCCAGACUCCUACGGGAGGCAGCAGUGGGGGAUAUUGCACAAUGGGGGAAACCCUGAUGCAGCGACGCCGCGUGGGCGAAGAAGUAUUUCGGUAUGUAAAGCCCUCUCAGCAGGGAAGAAGAAAUGACGGUACCUGAGUAAGAAGCACCGGCUAAAUACGUGCCAGCAGCCGCGGUAAUACGUAGGGAGCGAGCGUUGUCCGGAAUUACUGGGUGUAAAGGGAGCGUAGGCGGGGAUGCAAGUUGGGUGUCAAAACUACCGGCUCAACUGGUAGUCGCACUCAAAACUGCAGCUCUUGAGUGAAGUAGAGGCAGGCGGAAUUCCUAGUGUAGCGGUGAAAUGCGUAGAUAUUAGGAGGAACACCAGUGGCGAAGGCGACUUUCUGGACUGUACCUGACGCUGAGGCGCGAAAGCGUGGGUAGCGAACGGGAUUAGAUACCCGAGUA
rnacentral:rRNA from 1 species